rnacentral:rRNA from 1 species
AACGCGAAGAACCUUACCAGGGCUUGACAUCCCUCUGACAGGCUUGAUAACGAUAGCCUUUCUUCGGACAGAGGAGACAGGUGGUGCAUGGUUGUCGUCAGCUCGUGUCGUGAGAUGUUGGGUUAAGUCCCGCAACGAGCGCAACCCUUGUCUUUAGUUGCCAUCAUUGAGUUGGGCACUCUAAAGAGACUGCCGGGGACAACUCGGAGGAAGGUGGGGAUGACGUCAAAUCAUCAUGCCCCUUAUGUUCUGGGCUACACACGUGCUACAAUGGUCGGUACAAAGAGCAGCAAGACCGCGAGGUGGAGCAAAUCUCAAAAACCGAUCCCAGUUCGGAUUGCAGGCUGCAACUCGCCUGCAUGAAGUCGGAGUUGCUAGUAAUCGUGGAUCAGAAUGCCACGGUGAAUGCGUUCCCGGGUCUUGUACACACCG